GCUGCGGCCUGAUUUCGAAUCUCUCUGUCAAUAUAUAGCGAAAUAGAAUUGGACCAGCGAACACGUUACGCUAUUCGCUGAUGCGUUUCAUGAUAUUAACAGCAAAUCCGUUUUAGAAACCGAUUCGACGCGAAUCUACAAUCGAUCACUUGAUUAAUAUCCGCGUGUAACUGUGAGAACGAUCCAUUUUUACAUUCGGAAUUUCGGUGUGUAACGAUCCAUUUUCUACUUGUGUCCGUGCCUCGAGCGAUCUGCAAAUUCCUUGCCUGGGCCCUUAUCGCCAACUGGAAUAAGAGUUUGAGGAUACCGACAGCAUGGUUAACGAACAGAAGAAAAAGACAAUUCGAAAGACACAGGAAUUGGAAAGUUGGUGAGAAGAGAAAACGGAACGGAAACUGGCAGACAGUCGAUUCUGUUUUUCGAAAAGGAGAAUGCGGAGAAAUGCUCAGAAAUUCAAGUCUCUAGAGCACUUGAUCGAGUUCAGUUUCGAACGAGCGAAGUGUACGAAUCGAAUCGACAAUGUAAUGACAACGAUGCUCUUGAAAUAGGCUUGUUGAAAUGCAUACCGUUAACAAGAGACCGAAACAAGAGCGGUUACAUAAACAUUUUCCAUUGGAUAUUUCAAAAGCAAUGGUGGUGACUGCAAAGAGAAAUGCACGAAGAUUUGCACCGCAUCCCCUAGGAGAUUGAGCUCGAUGCUUGAAGCACGUUCUUCUGUUACAGAAAUUUGUUUCUUCGAUUCAAUGAAAUGAAAAACGUGAAAAAGCAGAAUCGAAGCAUAUUCAAACUUUUGUUCAUUGAUAUUUUAAGUAUAUUGUAGAAAUUGGUAAUGAAUAUGCCAUAAUAUUUUUAUAAUUUAUAAUUUUUUAAGAUGUAACAAUAAAAACAAGAU